rnacentral:rRNA from 1 species
AUGGCCAACAGAAAGAAUGUCAUGGCCAUGUUAUUUCUCACCACCAUUGUGGCGGUGGCGGCCACAAGGCCAGCCGAGACCUAUGGCGCUGCGGAGGAGAACACAUUGAAGAUGGCUACCCCCAGCAGGAAAGGGGUUGACGCUACCUUAGCAGCUACACGUGUUGUUGCCGCCGAGAAGUCCAUCAAGAAGGCUGAAAGCGCCACCACACCAGAAGAGGCCGCGGCCGCCAAGCAAGAUGGAGCAAAAUCUGCUUCUGCUGCAUUAAAGUACAAUACCAUCUCUCAGCAGGCAAAUGGUAAAGGUUCUUCUACCUCCCUAGGCAGGAAAGAAGCAGCCGGUACUUUAGCCGCCGCACACUAUGCCACCGCCGAAAAGUCCAUCAAGAAGGCCAAAACCGCCAAGACACCUGCAAAGGCCGUGGCUGCCAAGCGAGACGCAGCAAAGUCUGUUGACGAUGCAUUAAAGUAUGGUGCCAUCUCUCGGAAAGCAGCUGGUACAAGUUCUUCUACCUCCCCCAAUAGGAAAGAAGGCACCACUGAUGCUGCUAAGAUGUUCACCAAGAAGGCCGAAACCGCUACCACACCUGAAGAGGCCGCGGCUGCCAAGCAAGCUGCAGCCAAGCAAGCUGCAGCCAAGUCUACCGCUGCUGCAUCAAAGUAUGGUGUCAUUUCUCAGCAAGUAGCUGGUACAAGUUCUUCUACCUCCCCUAGCAGGAAAGAAGCUGCCGGUACCUUGGCAGAUGCUCGCAUAGCUGCUGCCGAGAAGUCCAUCAAGAAGGCUGAAACCGCCACCAGACCUGAAGAGGCAGCAUCCGCUAAGAAGGAUGCCGCGAAAUCUGAGGCUGAUGCAAUGAAGUACGGGGCCAUCUCUCAGCAGGCCGCCGGCAAAAAUGGUGCCUAA